rnacentral:misc_RNA from 1 species
UUAUCAUUUAGAGGAAGGAGAAGUCGUAACAAGGUUUCCGUAGGUGAACCUGCGGAAGGAUCAUUGUCGGUGCCACGCAAAAAGAGCGACCCGAGAACCGGUUGGAACAAAACUCUGGCGGGGGAGGCCGAGGCCCACCCCCGACAACCAAACCCCGGCGCCCCAGGCGCCAAGGAAACGAAGCGAAGCAAGGCACUCGUGCCAUUUGCAUCCGAAACGACUCUCGGCAACGGAUAUCUCGGCUCUCGCAUCGAUGAAGAACGUAGCGAAAUGCGAUACUUGGUGUGAAUUGCAGAAUCCCGUGAACCAUCGAGUCUUUGAACGCAAGUUGCGCCCGAAGCCGCUAGGCCGAGGGCACGUCUGCCUGGGUGUCACGCAACGUCGCCAGCGCCCGAUCCUCCGGGCGCGGCGGAUGAUGGCCUCCCGGGAGCCUCGCCUCCCGGCCGGCCGAAAAAGGGGCCCUACGUGACGGCCGCCACGAUCCACGGUGGUUGAGUGAGCAUUCGCUCGAGGCCAAGACGUGCGCGCGUCGUCCCACGGCGGGGGCCAGUCGGACGGGGCACAGCCCGCCCACUCGUAAGCGACCCCAGGUCAGGCGGGGCUACCCGCUGAGUUUAAGCAUAUCAA